CUAAUGAGAGAGAGACCUGGUAAACUAGAGCUAUCUGAGUCAGAAUCAGGUGUGCAACGGAGCAACUGGUGAUCAGGGCACAGGCUGCUGAAGGGACAGAAGAAUGCCUGUGAGAAGGAAGGGCUCCAUAUGGAUGUGAUGAGCACUGGGAGCACCCCCUGUUAGAUGAAUCUAUUUGACAUAUAAGGCGCUGACUCCCCAGGAGAAGAUCUUGCAGUGGCAGAAGCAGAAGUAGGGGAAGACUGAGCCAUACCCAUUCAUCAUCUAUGCCCUGACAACAGUAAUUCAGUGUUCUGGAAGAUAAGCCGUAUCAUUCCCCUCCCUCAUAAAAAAAAAUGUAAGGAGGGGAGAGAGCUACAUUUCUGCCACAUGCAGGCAGGUGUCAUAGCAUAGCCUGUGGAAUGUAUGAAAGCUAACAAUUAGCAGUAUAAUAUCUGCAGUUGCCAUGUUCCUUUUGGCUGCCACGUGGAUCCCUGUGAUCUCUCUGAACAGGUUUGCAUGAUGUACACUGUCCUGUACAAGAAAACAUAUGUAACUUUGACUAUUAUAUGCACUGGUUUCCAAGGGAAACCUGGCAUGUAGACCAGUAUGUUUCCCAUAGUUCUCCUCCAGUCCAGCUGGACCUGCUUCCUUUCCCCAUUUACAUGAACAUGUGGUAUGGCUGUGAAGAGGGAAAGAUUCCCUCUACCCACUUUUCCCCUCCUUGCAGACCUGCUAACCCAUUUGCUGCAGAUUUUUGCUCACCUCUUUGCCACGCAGCAUAUGGACCUAUACAAUUUACUAAGAUUUGUUGCAGAGCAGAGAAAAAUAGUGGAGUUGCGCUUUAAACUGUGGUGAUUUAAUAAAAGACAACGUUGAACCCUGUUUGUAACAAAGGCUGGAAAUAAAUAAUAAAGGUGAAUGUAUU